rnacentral:rRNA from 1 species
UACGUAGGGGGCUAGCGUUGUCCGGAAUCAUUUGGGCGUAAAGCGCGUGUAGGCGGUUCGGUAAGUCUGCUGUGAAAGUCCAGGGCUCAACCCUGGGAUGCCGGUGGAUACUGUCGGGCUCGAGUCCGGAAGAGGCGAGUGGAAUUCCUGGUGUAGCGGUGAAAUGCGCAGAUAUCAGGAGGAACACCGGAUGGCGAAGCAGGUCUCUGGGCAUUAACUGCGCUGA